rnacentral:rRNA from 1 species
UACGUAGGGUGCGAGCGUUUGUCCGGAAUUAUUGGGCGUAAAGAGCUCGUAGGUGGUUUGUCGCGUUGUUCGUGAAAUCUCACGGCUUAACUGUGAGCGUGCGGGCGAUACGGGCAGACUGGAGUACUGCAGGGGAGACUGGAAUUUACGGUGUAGCGGUGAAAUGCGUAGAUAUCGUAAGGAAGACCAGUGGCGAAGGCGGGUCUCUGGACAGUUCCUGACGCUGAGGCACGAAGGCCAGGGGAGCAAACGGG